rnacentral:tRNA from 1 species
CAAAGUGUAGCUUAACUAAAGCCCUUCGCUUACACCGAAGCCACAUCCGUGAAAACCGGGUCACUUUGA